rnacentral:rRNA from 1 species
CGGCGGACGGGUGAGUAACGCGUGGGUAACCCGCCUCAUACAGGGGGAUAACAGUUAGAAAUGGCUGCUAAUACCGCAUAAGACCACAGUACUGCAUGGUACAGUGGUAAAAACUCCGGUGGUAUGAGAUGGACCCGCGUCUGAUUAGGUAGUUGGUGAGGUAACGGCCCACCAAGCCGACGAUCAGUAGCCGACCUGAGAGGGUGACCGGCCACAUUGGGACUGAGACACGGCCCAA